GGGGCUGCCUGGUUUUGACGGCGGGCUGAAGAGGUAUGUAAGCAUGCAGCGCAUCACCCAAUAAGCGCUUUAUAAAUUAAGGGGCAACAAAAUAACUGGCGAAAAUACUAUCGCACUCGCUGCCUGAUUGAAGUUCAGUAAAUCAGCUUUAUUCUCCGACACACUGGAGAACGAGACAUCUCUCAGUUGCCCAGACCUUGAGGCGGACUGGUUCAUAGAGGUGCCGGAAUAUCAGGGUUAGUGCUGUCAGAGCUGCGAUGACGGUGCGAAAACAAAGCAGAUAAGGCAACGGUUGGUGGCUCUGGUCUUGCCGCUGCACGAAAAUGAAGGCAGAGAUAAGCAUGUAGAAAGCGUAUUGCUUCCCCGUUCGGACACGGGUUCGACUCCCGUCAGCUCCAC
rnacentral:tmRNA from 1 species